AUUGAAUUGAAUUCUAGUAAAAUUCUACAUUUCGAACAAGAGGAAUAUGUUCACAAUUUCAAAUGUUUGCUAUGGGAGGAUAAGGAGUUCUGCUUACUGCCUCCCAAAACUAUCAUAUAGGAAAACCAUACUGAAGAAAGGGUUAUUGGAUUAGUGUGUAUUUUUGCCUUGGUUAAUCUUAAAUGGUGCUGUAAGUGGAAUGUAUGCUGAUGAACCUUAUCCAUCAUUUUAUUGUGUAAAUGGUGAUCAUGUUUUUGAAAUUUUUAAUUGCAGUUCUCGCUGAUGGCUGUUCCAAG
rnacentral:misc_RNA from 1 species